UCAGCAGAAUGACUAAAGUGGUGGGGCUUGCAACCUCAGCUGCACACCUUCAAUUAAUAAAGCUGGGAUCAAGUCAUUUAUACUUUUAAGAUGGUUUCUGCAAGGGUAAUGAUUUGUGGGUUAGAAAGGUCACUUUGGAGGCAGCAUGAUGAUGGAUCUGAGUUAGCGUUGUAGAAACUAUGUACUGAUACCUCUGGAGCAGGCCAUCUUGUGCAGGUUUGCUGAAGGGUAAAUAGAGUUUAAGAACCACUGAUGGAAGAAUGGAAAAAUCAUCAUACCAAUGAACUGAUGACAGCACAUUAUAUACUAAGCCCUUAGUAAGUACUAUAUGUCAGACGUUGGGUAAGCACUUCACGCUUAUUUUAUUGCACUUCAUCAGGAAUAAAGGUAAAGCUUUCUUUUUUUUUAACUAACAACUUUGACUUUUAAUAAUGGAAACAAUUUGCCAUUCCAGAAUCAACUGUAGGGAAGAAAAAUCUCCCCUAAAACAAUAAACUCAAUAAAAUCAAAUCUAGAAGGGUCACAUACCAGAAAUGCUGCAGAAAUGCCAACAUCCUGCUUAUGAUUGGAUGUAGAAGAACUCUCUGUCGCAUUUAUAUUUAAACGAUUGGCCCAGAAUUCCUCAGCACUGAUCACUUGACUCACAACAAGGUCUUUAUAAAGCUGAAACAAAACAGGAUCUUCUUGCAGCAUUCUGGUGAUAGAAUAUAUUGAAUAUAUUGAACUUCUAGAAUAAAACACCAUUUAUGUUAACACUUUAAAAAAA